rnacentral:rRNA from 1 species
UAGGGAAUCUUCCGCAAUGGACGCAAGUCUGACGGAGCAACGCCGCGUGAGUGAAGAAGGAUUUCGGUUCGUAAAACUCUGUUGUUAGAGAAGAACAGCGCAUAGAGUAACUGUUAUGCGUGUGACGGUAUCUAACCAGAAAGCCACGGCUAACUACGUGCCAGCAGCCGCGGUAAUACGUAGGUGGCAAGCGUUGUCCGGAUUUAUUGGGCGUAAAGCGAGCGCAGGCGGUCAAUUAAGUCUGAUGUGAAAGCCCCCGGCUCAACCGGGGAGGGUCAUUGGAAACUGGUUGACUUGAGUGCAGAAGAGGAGAGUGGAAUUCCAUGUGUAGCGGUGAAAUGCGUAGAUAUAUGGAGGAACACCAGUGGCGAAGGCGACUCUCUGGUCUGUAACUGACGCUGAGGCUCGAAAGCGUAGGUAGCAAACAGG